CACGUAGGGUGCGAGCGUUGUCCGGAAUUAUUGGGCGUAAAGAGCUCGUAGGCGGUGUGUCGCGUCGGCCGUGAAAACCUGCAGCUUAACUGUGGCUUGCGGUCGAUACGGGCAUCACUGGAGUUCGGCAGGGGAGACUGGAAUUCUGGUGUAGCGGUGAAAUGCGCAGAUAUCAGGAGGAACACCGGUGGCGAAGGCGGGUCUCUGGGCCGAUACUGACGCUGAGGAGCGAAAGCGUGGGGAGCGAACAGG
rnacentral:rRNA from 1 species